GACAGAGGGUGCAAACGUUGCUCGGAAUUACUGGGCGUAAAGCGCGUGUAGGCGGGCCGGAAAGUCGGGCGUGAAAUCCCUGGGCUCAACCCAGGAACUGCACUCGAAACUUCCGGUCUAGAGUGGUGGAGAGGGAAGUGGAAUUCCUGGUGUAGAGGUGAAAUUCGUAGAUAUCAGGAGGAACACCAGUGGCGAAGGCGGGUCUCUGGGCCGAUACUGACGCUGAGGAG
rnacentral:rRNA from 1 species